rnacentral:rRNA from 1 species
UACGGAGGGUGCAAACGUUGCUCGGAAUUAUUGGGCGUAAAGCGCACGUAGGCGGUCCGCUAAGUCGGGUGUGAAAUCCCUCGGCUUAACCGAGGAAGUGCAUUCGAAACUGGCGGACUAGAGUACUGAAGAGGGUCGCGGAAUUCCCGGUGUAGAGGUGAAAUUCGUAGAUAUCGGGAGGAACACCAGUGGCGAAGGCGGCGACCUGGGCAGAUACUGACGCUGAGGUGCGAAAGCGUGGGGAGCAAACAGG